GCUUGGUGAUGUGGUUGUUUCAUUCUUGAAGAUUGCUAUCUCAACCUUCCAUGAUCAGGCUGAUUAUUCAAAGAAACUUGCUGCCAGGAUAUUUCCUUUAACUCCUAAUUUUCCCCAAGACUCAGAGGCUAAAUUUGAAGGUUUUGGAAUUAGUAAAGGAAAUGGACUGGCCAUUGUACCAUAAUCUUAAUGGUAUCCCCACUGAAGAAA
rnacentral:misc_RNA from 1 species